AAAUUAACGCUUUGCCAGUUCAUCCAAUCUGGCUUGUAAAUUGUCUUCAGUCUUUAACUCCGGUACCGUACCAAUUUGGGUCGCAGCAUCUGGCAAUCCUUGAGACAAAUCGACUCCAAUUUCAUCCAACACUUUAUUGACAAGUUCAUCAGCUUCCUCUUCGUCAUCUUCUUCUAAAGCAUCGUCCAUAUUUUCAUCAAUCAUUUCUUGUCUCUGUUCCAUAAUUUCAUUUUCACGCUCGAAUU